rnacentral:rRNA from 1 species
UACGAAGGGGCUAGCGUUGCUCGGAAUCACUGGGCGUAAAGGGUGCGUAGGCGGGUCUUUAAGUCAGGGGUGAAAUCCUGGAGCUCAACUCCAGAACUGCCUUCGAUACUGAGAGUCUCGAGUCCGGGAGAGGUGAGUGGAACUGCGAGUGUAGAGGUGAAAUUCGUAGAUAUUCGCAAGAACACCAGUGGCGAAGGCGGCUCACUGGCCCGGUACUGACGCUGAGGUGCGAAAGCGUGGGGAGCAAACAGG